AGAAAGUGGGUGUCUUGCUGCUGUGCCUUAGAGGAAAGGAAGGGUGGUGGUCCUCCUGUGGCUCAUACUAAAAGAAGCUUUUGUAGGUCAGAUCCUUGCUUUUUGGAAGGGUGUGCUUGAAGUGGAGGCAGCUGGCUCUGAGCCACUCUGCUAUCAUACAGCGCUUGUAGGAAAGGGGAAAGUGACACCUAUUUUGUGCCUUACGGUAAAAAUAGCCUGAGAAAAAAUACCAGCAGAGACAAAAAUGAAGAAUCAGCUUUCCAUCUAAAUGCUAUUUAAGAAAUCUCAUAAAUGGAGCUGAAUUCUUCCUCCUGCAAAUGUUCUGUUUUAAUUUGACUCCUGCAUAUUUUUCCCCCCAUGAAAUUUUGGGUUUUGCAACAUAACAGAUAAGCCCCUUUUUAUUCCUCCACCUGCCAAAGCCUUGGUUAUCCAGCCCUCACACAUGCACACCACUUCUAGCGCACGCUGAAUCCUGGCCAAAAUCAUUCUCUGCUCCUCCAUUCCCCGGCAUUUCAGAGAGCUUUGCCAACAAGGCGUAAUGCCAACCUGUGCUCUCUCGUUUUGCCAUUCUUCAGUCUCUGGUGAACCUGUUCCAGGAACCUUGCUCCUGACUGCUGCCCAUUUAUCCGUUCCCCAGGGACCAGUCCUAGUGCAUUGCCUGCAGCUUGAUUCCCCCAUGCUGAUGUAGCUUCCCAUACUCAGUCCCAUGUGCUCCUCACCAUACCAAAAUAUGAAUGUUACGGACAACAAGCUCACUGAUACCAUGGCUGAAUGGUGUCGUGUUUGGGAUUCAGUGUUUUUGUGGCAUGUUUAUAUAUGGGGUUAAGAUGAGACCCCUAUGAAGUCAAGAUCCCUUUGAAACUUGGCUCUACAGGGGCUUUAUUCCAGUUGGUUUUCUUACUGUAAUGCUCCCCAGCCCUGUUCUGCUGCUGUUUCUGCUCCAGGGGCACUGCAUUGCGCCUCCUCACA